GACUAACGCUGGCGGUAUGCCUUAGACAUGCAAGUCGAACGAGUUUCCGGGCUUGCUCGGAAACUAGUGGCGAACGGCUGAGUAACGCGUAGGUGACCUACCCCGUAGUGUGGAAUAACUGCCCGAAAGGGUAGCUAAUACCGCAUGUUGAGCCGACUUCACUGUCGUCUCCAAAGCAGAAAUGCGCUAUGGGCGGGGCCUGCGUUCGAUUAGCUAGUUGGUGGGGUAACGGCUCACCAAGGCGACGAUCGAUAGGUGGUUUGAGAGGACGAUCACCCAGACUGGGACUGAGACACGGCCCAGACUCCUACGGGAGGCAGCAGUCGGGAAUUUUGCGCAAUGGGGGAAACCCUGACGCAGCAAUACCGCGUGUGGGAUGAAGGCCUUCGGGUUGUAAACCACUUUUUUUGGGGACGAUAAUGACGGUAAAGGGAGAAUAAGCCACGGCUAACUACGUGCCAGCAGCC
rnacentral:rRNA from 1 species